AAACGCCUACGGGAGGCAGCAGUGAGGAAUAUUGGUCAAUGGCCGAGAGGCUGAACCAGCCAAGUCGCGUGAGGGAUGACGGCCCUACGGGUUGUAAACCUCUUUUGUCGGGGAGCAAAGAGAGUCACGUGUGGCUCAUUGAGAGUACCCGAAGAAAAAGCAUCGGCUAACUCCGUGCCAGCAGCCGCGGUAAUACGGAGGAUGCGAGCGUUAUCCGGAUUUAUUGGGUUUAAAGGGUGCGCAGGCGGAGGUGCAAGUCAGUGGUCAAAUUGCGGGGCUCAACCCCGUACUGCCGUUGAAACUGC
rnacentral:rRNA from 1 species